UACGUAGGGUGCGAGCGUUGUCCGGAAUUACUGGGCGUAAAGAGCUCGUAGGUGGUUUGUCGCGUUGUCCGUGAAAACUCACAACUCAAUUGUGGGCGUGCGGGCGAUACGGGCAGACUGGAGUACUGCAGGGGAGACUGGAAUUCCUGGUGUAGCGGUGGAAUGCGCAGAUAUCAGGAGGAACACCGGUGGCGAAGGCGGGACUCUGGGCCGAUACUGACGCUGAGGAGCGAAAGCGUGGGUAGCAAACGGG
rnacentral:rRNA from 1 species